GAGGCAACCGAAGUGAUAGCAGAAGUUGGCCAUGUUCGUGAUUUCCUGUGAUGCCUUGAUACCAGUUCAGACCCUAUGGUGACUGACAGCAACAGCAUUGAUCCUCCUAUUGGCACGUGAUGACAGACAGGCCAACACGUCUGAUGAUGACAACAUGAUGAGAUGGGAAACCAUUCAAACCACAGUGGUCCCUGCGGGAGUCCAGAGACAUGAAAACUAAGAGGCAACCAUCUGACCUUCAUUUUGAACAAGAUUUGAGAGAGGCAACCGAAGUGAUGGCGGAAGUUGGCCAUGAUGGUGAUUUCCUGGAUGCCAUGAUGUCAGUACAGACCACAUGGUGACUGACAGCAACAGCGUUGAUCCUCCCUUGAUACCUGGUGACAGGUAGG